UAUUAAUUGCCAGAACCUGCUAAUUCUGAGGAACAAGCAGGGGGAAAGGGGCAGAGAUACAGAGUCAGGGAGUGAAAUGGAGAAAAUACAGGAAGAAUUUCUAGCAAGGGCAAAGUGUAAUUAACAGAAUCCAGAAUAUUCCCUGCACAUUGUAUUACUCUGGGCCUGAUUCUCUUCCGCACUGACGACCCUUUCCCUGUCUCUGGCCGUGUCUAGAGGGCUUUAUGCCACUGUCGAGCCCCUUUACAGUGCCGUGAAGGUAACGGUGUUAUGUCGUCUUAGUGCAAACAAGAAUCAGACUCAUACUGGGUGUCCAAUGACCCCUCCGCACACCCAGGGUCUGUUUUUGAAAGGCUCUAAGCACCCACAGCUCUAAGUGAAGUCAGUGGGACCUGCUGGUGUCCAGCACUUCUGACAAUCAGGUGCCCAGUGCUUGUUCCAUGCAGGGCUCUGGAAGCAUUUAAUACACUCAGUGGCACGGGGGGCACAUGUGGCUCUGUUUGGGGAGGCUCACACACAGGUGCCAGAAGCUCUCUAGAAGUUGGGGGGCCACUGGCGCUUAGAUCAUGGCCCUGCCACCAAGGCCCCACCCCAUGUCAUUGUCUUCCCCUGAGGCCCCUCCCUCACGCUGGCACUUACUGCCCAAUCCCCCGAGGCCCCCCCACUCUUCACUCCUCUCCGCUCCCUCCCCCGACACCCUCCUACCUGCCCCCUGCUCCUCUCUCUCUCUUCCCCCAAGACUCCACUCAGCCCCUGCUUGCUCCUCUCUGCCCCUUUCCUGUAAGGGGGGGCUACCAGGGGAGCCACGGGGCCAGGCCCCCAUCUCUUUUUUCUGCCUUAGGUGAGCAGGGGGCAACAGGUCCUUGGGGAAGGAGACAGGGCCGGAAGAGGUGCAGUGGGGAAUGGGAAGAGGCAGAGCAUAAGUGGUGCCCCCACUUCGCUGGAGCUUCGCUUCCAGCACUGGAAAGGUGACAAUGGGCCCACGUGCCUCCAGAGGGGUGACCCGCCCCGCACCCCCAGCAGCUCAGCCUCCCCUGGCCUCUUAGACGUGCUGCCCUUGCUCAGCUCCUUCCACACUCUAGAGAGGCGCAGCACUCGGGGUAGGACUGAGCCAUGGGGCACUAGGUGAGUGGCAGAGGCUCCGGGAGCUGAGAGUUUGCCUCGCACCCCUCAGGGACACAGCGUGAGGCACCAUCCCAGGCAUCUCUAUGCAAGGAGCAGAACAGGGUUUACUUGGGGUGCAGAGCAUAUUGAGAGCAUCUCAGAGGUUUGUAGAGAUGUAUUGCCCUGGUUAGCAAGUGUGGCUAGAACACAGGCCUCGCUGUGAGCAGGAUUUGAACCUGUGUAGGGAAACCCUAUUGGAUUUCUAGUCCAACACUUUAACCAGUCGGCCAUCACAGCUUUGAGCCCAGCAAUGCUCCAAGGCCAGAGAAACUGGGAAACAAUCACAAUGCCCAGGCCUGAAGUCAUCUGAAAUACAGAAUUCAAACAGCAAACCUAGCUCUCAAAGCACAGGGGGAAUUUGUGGGUCUCGUUGUUUAGCCAUGUGGUUAAGCAUCAAACCAACCCCCUUCUGUGAGGUCUGAAAUUAUUGCUCUCCCCACUGUAAAGAUAGGGACAUGGAGAUAGAAUUAAACUGGCCAAGGUCACACAGUAAGUUAGAAUCCACCAGCUCCCUGCUCUAGCCACCAAUGUUCGCACUUUCUCGCUUUUAUUAAACUGUUUUUUAUUAUUGGACUCUUUUCUCUAUUUAGAAACAGGACUAAGCCAUGACUGGACUGUCAGACUGGAGAAUGGGACACAGUUCCCUUUACCUGGACCCUGGAUUUCUCAUUGCUUCAGAGAAACUUGUUAGUGGUGAAACAAGGCUGGCAGUCUGGGCUACUGGACAGAACAAGCGUUCAGGCUGAAAAGCGAACAUCAUUUCUCUCAAUUUCAGCAAAAAACAAAAUUAAACAAACCCCCACAAAAACAGGCACCUGAAAAAGUACUGCCCCUGACUUCACCUUUCCAAGGUCUUCUCCACACGCUCUCCCGCCCCGAGUGAGAAUCCUACACCUUGACCAACACACCACAGUCAGACCCGAAUGCAGCUCUCCCUCUGCAGGCAGGAUGGAG